AUAUGAGCGAUUAUUGGAUUGCCUUUUCAUUGGGAUAAGAAAAUAGCUGAGAAAAUAGAUAAGAAUAUAUCUAUAGAAUCUGUGAAGCAUCUAUUUCUAUUCAAGUGUAAUGAGAACAGGUCUGAAACGAUUUCAGACAAUACGGGCCGGGAAAAUAUCACGCCUUGCUUUUACUUCACUGUAAAUGUAGUUAGUAACUUGGAUACAUUGUCACUACAAGUUAACACAUUGAAUGCUUAAACAAUGUAUACAAAGUAAUAGCCGGAAACCAAAACUUUUUAUGGCGAAAAAUAGGCAGUUGGCCCGCAGACGAUUAAUCGGUUGACAAGAAGAGUGUGAAAUUUGAAUUACUAAAUUUGACCCAAGAAAAAAGAAUAAAACAAACGGGGUGAGCUAAAUAAAACCGUUUAAUAAAAAGAAAUAUUUUUUGGAUCCGAGUGGUCGGCAUACAGCACAUUGGGUGCCCACUACUCGGAUCUGAGAGGAUCUAAGGAUGGCAAUGGUUUAACAAAUAUACGGGACGCUCGCACGGAUCCGAUUAGACGACAUCGCUACUAUGACCCCGCUCUACUCGUAUCCGAGAAAAAAGCACUUAAUGUGUUAAGUCAAAUGGCACCACAUGUUGUUUGCAUUCAUCAAAAUUAAUGUAUUUGUAUAUUGUUAUUCUAUAACUUAUGGGUUAUUUUAUUACUUAUUCUUUUUCGGAGCGGAGAAGAAUCCACAGAAAAGAGAAAACUAACAUCGGUGCAG